rnacentral:rRNA from 2 species
UCUGGCCUCAAAUCAGGUAGGACUACCCGCUGAACUUAAGCAUAUCAAUAAGC